GGAUUGCCUCAGUAACGGCGAGUGAAGCGGCAACAGCUCAAAUUUGAAAUCUGGCCCCCUCGGGGUCCGAGUUGUAAUUUGGAGAAGAUGCUUCGGGUGCGGCCCCGGUCUAAGUUCCUUGGAACAGGACGUCACAGAGGGUGAGAAUCCCGUACGUGCCCGGUGGUCGCCCCCGUGUGAAGCUCUUUCGACGAGUCGAGUUGUUUGGGAAUGCAGCUCUAAAUGGGUGGUAUAUUUCAUCUAAAGCUAAAUAUUGGCCAGAGACCGAUAGCGCACAAGUAGAGUGAUCGAAAGAUGAAAAGCACUUUGGAAAGAGAGUUAAACAGUACGUGAAAUUGUUGAAAGGGAAGCGCUUGCAACCAGACUUGCGCGCGGCCGAUCAUCCGGUGUUCGCACCGGUGCACUCGACCGCGCGCAGGCCAGCAUCGGUUUGGGUGGCUGGACAAAGGCCUCGGGAAUGUGGCUCCCCUCGGGGAGUGUUAUAGCCCGAGGUGCAAUGCAGCCUACCCGGACCGAGGACCGCGCUUCGGCUAGGAUGCUGGCGUAAUGGUUGUAAGCGACCCGUCUUGAAACACGGACCAAGGAGUCUAACAUCUAUGCGAGUGUUUGGGUGUCAAACCCAUACGCGUAAUGAAAGUGAACGGAGGUGGGAACCCUUAAGGGUGCACCAUCGACCGAUCCUGAUGUCUUCGGAUGGAUUUGAGUAAGAGCAUAGCUGUUGGGACCCGAAAGAUGGUGAACUAUGCCUGAAUAGGGUGAAGCCAGAGGAAACUCUGGUGGAGGCUCGCAGCGGUUCUGACGUGCAAUCGAUCGUCAAUUUGGGCAUAGGGGCGAAAGACUAAUCGAACCA
rnacentral:rRNA from 1 species